UACGAAGGGGGCUAGCGUUGCUCGGAAUCACUGGGCGUAAAGCGCACGUAGGCGGCUUUCUAAGUCAGGGGUGAAAUCCUGGAGCUCAACUCCAGAACUGCCUUUGAUACUGGAGAGCUUGAGUCCGGAAGAGGUGAGUGGAACUCCGAGUGUAGAGGUGAAAUUCGUAGAUAUUCGCAAGAACACCAGUGGCGAAGGCGGCUCACUGGUCCGGUACUGACGCUGAGGUGCGAAAGCGUGGGGAGCAAACAGGG
rnacentral:rRNA from 1 species